rnacentral:rRNA from 1 species
UACGGGGGGUGCGAGCGUUGUUCGGAAUUAUUGGGUGUAAAGGGCGCGUAGGCGGUUUUACAAGUCCGGUGUAUAAGGCAACAGCUUAACUGUUGUUUUGCGCUGGAAACUGUGAGACUUGAGUUUAGGAGGGGGAGCUGGAAUUCCAGGUGUAGGGGUGAAAUCUGUAGAUAUCUGGAAGAACACCGGUGGCGAAGGCGAGCUCCUAGCCAUAGACUGACGCUGAGGCGCGAAACCUAGGGGAGCGAGCCGG